rnacentral:misc_RNA from 1 species
UCUCCGUAGGUGAACCUGCGGAGGGAUCAUUCACAUGUAUCCAACCUAUCAACCAACUGUGAACUUAAUCGCCGAUGGAAACAAGUAUAUAAUUGUUAAUAAAUACAUUGAGUGGAAUUAUUUUACCCCUUAAAAGGUAAUGUAAUUAGUAUUUAUCUGCCACGACUUGUAUUUGCACACUCGUGUGUGUAAGUAGCUUGUCAAUUAUUGCUUGCACGAUAUCGGUCAAACUCUCUUAUGUUAGCAAUUAAUAAUGAUCCUCAAUCAUUACUAAUGCUGGUUAACAUUUGAGAACCCUUUUAAAACCACCUCUACAUCCUAUAAUUUAAUGAUACUUUCGAGUAGAUUUAAGUUAGAACGAUGUUGAUCAUUCGGAGAACCAAUGAUAGCUAUUUUAUUUUUCGCAAGAAAAACAAAGCAGCUUGAAUUUUUGUAAUCAUUUUCAUGGUUCAAAAAAUCAUAUCUUAAAAACAUAGAAACAACUCUAUGCCCUGGAUAUCUUGGUUCUC